UCCCAUUCGAUGCCUUUAUGUGUUUGUUGAGUGAUUUCAGGUUUGGAAGGCAAAGAUUGGAUUGAAGGAAUGAAGAAAAAGCAUGUAAAAGUAGAGAAUUCGUGAAGAAAUGAAGUUUUGGAAAUCUGCCAUGCGACGCGUACGCGUGACUAGAGACCUCAUCAAGCGCGUGACACUCAGCACGUGAUUUCAUUUAAUGCAAUACACUGGGGGCGAAUUCUGGGCUUCCAAAGCCCAUUCCAACUCAUUUCUGAAGCUAUGUCAAGCCUAAUUCAAGAGAGAACAAGGGGCAAGCAAUUAGG
rnacentral:lncRNA from 1 species